UCCCGUGUACUGACUCAGCGUUUAGUUCUCCUUUGAUUUCCUCUCCCUCUGGCCACCCCUGUCCCCAAUCGUAAAAGGGGUCAGUCUGCUCAGGCCUGCUUUGAUGGGACCGCGAAGGCCAGGAAGGAACUGGUCCGGGGUUUUCUAAGAGCUGGGGGUGGAUGGAAUCCUCCUGCCUGCGGGUCUUUAAAAACUGAGACCCGGGAAAAGGAGAAGAUGAAGGAAGCCAAGGAUGCCCGCUAUACCAAUGGGCACCUCUUCACCACCAUCUCAGUUUCAGGCAUGACCAUGUGCUAUGCCUGUAACAAGAGCAUCACAGCCAAGGAAGCCCUCAUCUGCCCAAGUAAGUUGUUUGGACCCUGAGAGUCACCCAGACUCGGUGCCCACUGACCCUGAUCUUUUCAUCUGUUUUUUCUGCCUGGAUCCAUGAGGGUUGCUCUUCUCUCUGAUCCCCAGCUGAGCCCAAAUGCCAGGGCCAGAUGCUUGAUCCCUUGCUCCCUGUCCUCACUCUGAGGGGUGGUGGCUGUUGGAAUAUGGCAUAAGCUGGACUAUCUGGGAAUGUGGGGGAGGGGAGGCUGUGCUGGCUCCUCUUGCAGCUGUCAUCCACCAGGCACCCCCCUUGCUCCCCGAACAGCUGCUAAGGGUUAGGGGAACUGAUUGGAGAAGGAGCAGGAAUGUUGUAUAUGUGGA
rnacentral:sRNA from 1 species